CAGUAGCCGCGGGAAUACAGAGGGUGCAAGCGUUACUCGGAAUUACUGGGCGUAAAGCGUGCGUAGGUGGUGGUUUAAGUCCGUUGUGAAAGCCCUGGGCUCAACCUGGGAAUUGCAGUGGAUACUGGGUCACUAGAGUGUGGUAGAGGAUAGUGGAAUUUCCGGUGUAGCAGUGAAAUGCGUAGAGAUCGGAAGGAACAUCUGUGGCGAAGGCGACUAUCUGGGCCAACACUGUCACUGAGGCACGAAAGCGUGGGGAGCAAACAGGAUUAGAUACCCCAGUAGUCCCUGUCUCUUAUAU
rnacentral:rRNA from 1 species